rnacentral:rRNA from 1 species
AGAGUUUGAUCAUGGCUCAGAUUGAACGCUGGCGGCAGGCCUAACACAUGCAAGUCGAACGGUAACAGGAAGCAGCUUGCUGCUUCGCUGACGAGUGGCGGACGGGUGAGUAAUGUCUGGGAAACUGCCUGAUGGAGGGGGAUAACUACUGGAAACGGUAGCUAAUACCGCAUAAUGUCGCAAGACCAAAGAGGGGGACCUUCGGGCCUCUUGCCAUCGGAUGUGCCCAGAUGGGAUUAGCUUGUUGGUGGGGUAACGGCUCACCAAGGCGACGAUCCCUAGCUGGUCUGAGAGGAUGACCAGCCACACUGGAACUGAGACACGGUCCAGACUCCUACGGGAGGCAGCAGUGGGGAAUAUUGCACAAUGGGCGCAAGCCUGAUGCAGCCAUGCCGCGUGUAUGAAGAAGGCCUUCGGGUUGUAAAGUACUUUCAGCGGGGAGGAAGGGAGUAAAGUUAAUACCUUUGCUCAUUGACGUUACCCGCAGAAGAAGCACCGGCUAACUCCGUGCCAGCAGCCGCGGUAAUACGGAGGGUGCAAGCGUUAAUCGGAAUUACUGGGCGUAAAGCGCACGCAGGCGGUUUGUUAAGUCAGAUGUGAAAUCCCCGGGCUCAACCUGGGAACUGCAUCUGAUACUGGCAAGCUUGAGUCUCGUAGAGGGGGGUAGAAUUCCAGGUGUAGCGGUGAAAUGCGUAGAGAUCUGGAGGAAUACCGGUGGCGAAGGCGGCCCCCUGGACGAAGACUGACGCUCAGGUGCGAAAGCGUGGGGAGCAAACAGGAUUAGAUACCCUGGUAGUCCACGCCGUAAACGAUGUCGACUUGGAGGUUGUGCCCUUGAGGCGUGGCUUCCGGAGCUAACGCGUUAAGUCGACCGCCUGGGGAGUACGGCCGCAAGGUUAAAACUCAAAUGAAUUGACGGGGGCCCGCACAAGCGGUGGAGCAUGUGGUUUAAUUCGAUGCAACGCGAAGAACCUUACCUGGUCUUGACAUCCACGGAAGUUUUCAGAGAUGAGAAUGUGCCUUCGGGAACCGUGAGACAGGUGCUGCAUGGCUGUCGUCAGCUCGUGUUGUGAAAUGUUGGGUUAAGUCCCGCAACGAGCGCAACCCUUAUCCUUUGUUGCCAGCGGUCCGGCCGGGAACUUAAAGGAGACUGCCAGUGAUAAACUGGAGGAAGGUGGGGAUGACGUCAAGUCAUCAUGGCCCUUACGACCAGGGCUACACACGUGCUACAAUGGCGCAUACAAAGAGAAGCGACCUCGCGAGAGCAAGCGGACCUCAUAAAGUGCGUCGUAGUCCGGAUUGGAGUCUGCAACUCGACUCCAUGAAGUCGGAAUCGCUAGUAAUCGUGGAUCAGAAUGCCACGGUGAAUACGUUCCCGGGCCUUGUACACACCGCCCGUCACACCAUGGGAGUGGGUUGCAAAAGAAGUAGGUAGCUUAACCUUCGGGAGGGCGCUUACCACUUUGUGAUUCAUGACUGGGGUGAAGUCGUAACAAGGUAACCGUAGGGGAACCUGCGGUUG